UCAUGACUUCCAGUUACCUCCCCUUAUUCACAAAACUAGUCAUCUGGUCAUAGAGCGCUACAUAGAAGGUUGAUUCCCACUGUGUAAGUCCAUGUCAACUACUCCCAACCACUUUAUUGUUCUUUGUUUGUUUAGAAAUGGUUUCCAGGAUAGUGGAUCCAUCACCUUCCCAGGGAUUGAGGUGAGGCCAAUCAGCCUGUAGUUUCAUGGCUGUAGCUUAUGGCCCUGCUGGAAAACAGGAAGGACAUUUGCUUUCUUCUAGUCCUCAGGAACCUCCCAAGUUCUGCUGAUGUGUCAAUCAGAAAAGGCCUGCUGCUUCAUCACUCAUGUGCAUCUGUCAGCUGGAAUGGUCUCCUGAUCUUCCUCCACUGAAGGUGGAAGGUAAUAUUCUGUUGGAUCAUCUGGGCAUAUGUCAUCAAAGCAAUUAGUUCACAAGACAAUGCCUUCUCAAAAUCACAACAUCUCUUUGCUGGGUACAUUUCCAAGAUUAGCCAGUCCUGCUAACUCCUGCACAGUUUCCUGUCGAACUGCACAUGGAUUGCAACACCAUCAGCAUGAAUUUAUGAGAGUCUCAUUCCUGAAAAGGACACUAUAGUUUUGGAAUACUACAAUACAAAACAGGACACUGGCAUGGGGUGGAGCUUAUUGAAAACAGCCUGAAGUUUUUACAUUUUUUUCUGUCAUUUGAAGUACCAAAGACCUAUUCUUUAUUGUUUACUUCAUGUUACAUAAACUCAUAAGGGCAAUAAAC
rnacentral:lncRNA from 1 species